CAUUUUCUUAGACAUAACAGCUGCGGUCAGAACGGUUGAUUCUCCGUAACGAACAACGGUUGCCCCGUUGGCUUGCUUAGCGACUUGACCAACUUCAACAACAAGGGGUUUCCCUGCAAAUGUUGUUGUAAAGGUUUGUUUUGACAUAUAUUCUCCUUUUAGUCUCAGAAAGUCA
rnacentral:ncRNA from 1 species